rnacentral:tRNA from 1 species
GGGGUUCUAGCUCAUCGGUAAAGCGCUCGCUUAGCAUGCGAGAGGAACAGGAUUCGACUCCCUGGUACUCCA